AAUACACGACACUGGUCUAAUGUACUAAGAACCAAGUCUAGAGCUGAACAGUGAAGGACCCUGCUGAUGAUCCUGGUCAAUAGAAAAUUCUCAGGUUUCUAAGGGAACAAGGAAAUGGAACAAUGGGGAUUUUGUGAGACUAGUCCAGACUCCUUGGAGUCCUGAAACCAGCUCCACCCACAGCAGCAUAAGGAACAGCAGGAAGCCCAUGUCAUACAUUUAAGGCUGUCAAGCAGACAUCUGAGCUCUACAGAUGACCCCUCUGGGUGAGACAAGAAAGGGCAAGGCCAAACAAGACAGAAACUUUGGGCAGAAUUUUUCCCUGUAACAUGGGUUCCCCACCGUGCCAGGCUUUUACAUUUGGUUUUGACUCAUUGGAAAAACUGACCAGAACUCAAGAAGAGGUGCUUUGAUGCUACAGCUCCGCGCACUGCGCAUCUUGAGGAGGGAGAAGUGGAGAGAGCAAGACCAGCUACCUGGCUCCGCAGACUCUCAAGCAACUUGGUCUGUUACAAAGCACACUCUUGAAAGAGGCUGCUUUUUGUUUUCCUAACAACUGGGUAACAAACACGCUGAUGAGUGAAAAGACUUAAGGACACCCAGCUGACACUGCAAAACACACCGAGACAUCCAUCCAGAGGCAGUUCUCGGCUUUGCACAAAGAACAGAACAAUUACUAUGUACAGGUCAGGUCACACUCACAGCCCAUCCAACCAAAGAGUUCACGUCUGACAUUGUACACAAACAAGGCUGGACUUUGAAAAGUAAUGCUGAAGAAGGCAUCCAAUAAAUUUCACCUGCAUUUAUA